GCUGUGGGAAGCUGGUAUCGUUUAGGCAAGGUUAUCCUGCCCGCGGUCACACCCAAGUAAAAGAAUUCACAUUUGAACCCAGGACACCAUCUCCAAACUCUGCACAUGGAUCGUCUCUCCCACUCUAAACCCAAAAUGUAUCAGAACGGGAACAACCCAUCGCCAGAGAGUGGCCAGAAAAGUGGGACCCUAAAUUGGGAUUUGCCCUUUAGCCAGGUUCCUAGACAAUUCCUUUACACAUUAAAGGUGAGAAGCGCUGUGCCUAGGUGCUGCCCAAUAGUCAAGAAGAGGGCUGACCUAAGGGAAGGAAAGAUAGGAGAUGGGGCAUAGGAAUGCCUAAAGAGGGACCACGUGCAUGACAAAGCCUGGAAUGUCAGACUAUAUCCACUUUUAUUAAAAUGCAGUCUGUCCUCAGAGAUCCACAGCCAGGGCUGCACGGAGAAACCCUGUCUCAAACAAGCAAACACAGGAAGCUAUGAAUGCUGCCCAACAAAACGUUCAAGAACUGUAUCCAUGAGGUGUUUGCCAGUGGAUCCAACUACCGCUGCCUGCUAACCUGUGAACUGAACUGAUUUCCAGACAACACAGAAGGGAGUUGCUCCAAAGAACCUUUCUAAACAGUUCCACUUCCCCCCCCCCCCCCGUAUCCUUUCUUUCCCACUACCUCUGGUGAGUGGUGGGUUACAAGGAAGGUUAAAGUGUUUAAAAACCAUCAUUAAAAAUGGAAUUUGAGGGCUGGAGAGAUGGCUCAGUGGUUAAGAGCACCGACUGCUCUUCUGAAGGUCCUGAGUUCAAAUCCCAGCAACCACAUGGUGGCUCAAAACCAUAAUGAGAUCUGACGCCCUCUUCUGGUGCAUCUGAAGACAGCUACAGUGUACUUACAUAUAAUAAUAAAUAUUUUUUUUUAAAUGGGAUUUGGAAAAAUUAAAGUUACACCAGGGAGUACAAGUGUCAAAAAGAUUAUAAGGAUUCAACAAGGUGCAAGGUGUGGCCUUGUUGAAGGAAGUGUGUCACUGGGGGUGUGAUUUGAGGUUUCAAAAGUCCACACCAGACCCAGUCUUUCUCUUUGCCUAUGGAUCAGACUGUAGAGCUCUCAGCGACUUCUCCAGCUCCACCAAGUAGACAGUAAAUUACCUCUGAAACUGUAGGUCAGCUCUCAAUUAAGUCCUUUUUCUUUAUGAAUUGCCUUGGUUGUGGUGUCUCUUAAGAGCAAUAACGCAAUGACAAAGACAUGGCUCAACUAGCCAUUUUUAUUAGUGGUCUUUUUGACAAAUGCAAUGUCAUCCAAAAAUGAUGUAUUUAGUGUCCUUAGAAGACACAACUAAAUCAAGGAACUUAUAUGGCGCAAUAAAAUAUAUGUUAAGC
rnacentral:lncRNA from 1 species